rnacentral:lncRNA from 1 species
UAACUUUCAGCUCUUCUUUUUGGUCCUCGGGGUACUUGUUGCGGUUGUGGUAUCAUAUGGUUUUGCAGCUUCAAGAUAUGGGAACCGUUUGCUGAUUACAAACUCAAGAUAAAGUAAGAGUAAGAACAAGCCUGGAGUUGGCAUUGGAAACUGCGAUUUGGUAAAGGAAACUCGGAAAGGUUAGUAGUAGAAGAAUGAGGAUGGCAUAACAGUAGCAGAGUAUAUUUAGUUUGCUGUAACAGGUCUCGGUUGUUCUCGUGUGUAAAGUGUAAAGAACGGCUCAUUCCCAGCAGAGGACUUCUGAGAUGCUACCUUUUCUGACAGUUGAGCGACCCUAUGAUUGGACUGUUAACAAUUGAUUGCCACUCGUCUAAACCUCUUGCAAUAAAUGUUUUGAGGGACGGUAGUUUCUCUAAAUACUCCGUUUUAAAAACUGUCAUUUUAAAAGUAACUACCGAUUCUCAAAACACAAAACCUAAGGCUACAUAUGGUUUUUCUUCAUAAUACGAUGGAAGGUUUUGGUAAACCGUUCGUUUAAAAGCGAACUGCAAUAGGGGCUGAAUUCUUAAUCUUUCAAGGCACCUUAUGAUUGCAGUCGAGUCUGCAGAAGCUAUUACUAGAAAGAUUGCAGUCGAGUCUGCAGAAGCUAUUACUAGAAAGAAUGCUUUGAAAAUUGACAUUGAUUCCGUUGGAUUUUAUUUGGACGGCUGAUUGCGUAAUCACUCUUAGGAAAUUGUAGCUAUCUUACCUAUGAUCGUACAGAUAUGCUUUAAAAUUCUCACGAAAGUCCUUACUAUUAGAUUUCAAGCCUUUUCUUAACGGGAUGAUUGACCCCAUCAGAGUAGCUUUCUCCUCGGUCGUUUGACUCAAGACAAUAUUUAUUGGCUCAAGAGGCUAUCCAUUCCAUUUGUAAUCGCAAAGGGCGAGAGACAUGUAUGAUCGCUAAGAUUGACUUAGAAAAGGCUUAUGACAGGGCUGCGAGAGUUGCUAUUUUAUUUAAUGGCAAACCGACGGAAGAGUUCAUCACUUCGAGAGUAUUACGACAAGGUGAUCCACUUUCACCUUAUCUAUUUACUCUCUGUAUGGAACGACUUUCUCUCUUGAUUCAAGAACAGGUACAGAAAAAUCAAUGGCAGCCAAUUCGAUUGAGCAGAUCCGGACCAGAGAUCACGCACCUGUUCUUUGCAGAUGAUCUCUUGAUCUUUGGAAAAGCAUCGGCUGUCCAGGCUGCCUUUAUGUGCGAAGUUUUCGCAAACUUAUGCAGUGCUUCAAGUCAAAGGUCAACUCGCUGAAAUCUGUCAUCUACUUGUCCGAGGGGUGUCCGCUUGCAAGGAAGAAUGAGAUUUUGGCGAUUACUUAUUUCAAGUUGUCUACAAACUUGGGAAAGUAGCUUGGGGCACCUUUAAUCCAUGGGCGGGUUGCCAAGGCCACCUACUUCGGGGUCGUGGAGAGAGUCCAACAAUGAUUAGCAUGUUGGAAAACUAAGUUGCUGUCAGUUGCGGGCAGGGAAACUCUUAGUCACUCUACUCUCACCGCAUCAUUCAUGGUACUGAUCCUUGGCCUCGAGUAAUCGUCUGGUAGAUGGUGCAGCAACUAUCAAGUGAGUUACACAGCUUAGACAUAAAAACUCCCAUUACGACUAAACCACCGAGAUGUGUCAAGUGGGUGAAACCGAAUCUUGGAUGGGUUAAACUCAACGUCGAUGGAAGUCACCGAUCGGAGCCUCCUUCAACAGCCUUCGGGGGCCUUAUUAGAGACGAAAAUGGUCAAUGGAUUGCUGGGUUUUACACCAGAAGUGGUACACAAGACAUCUUACAGGCCGACUUGCUCGCCAUUUGUGAUGUCAUAUCUCUGCUCCAAAUGUUUGGCUACAGAAGAGCGAUCGUGGAGUCAGAUUUGCUUCAAGCAGUUCGGCUAGUCACCCGCGAAGACAUUUCUGCCCACCCUCUCUUUUCGAUUAUUAUGGACAUUAGAAGUGGCCUUCAACCAGGGGAGAAUUUUAAGCUACAACAUGUGUUUCGGGAGCCAAAAAAAGCAGCUGAUAUGCUUGCGAAGAUGGUUCACAUCGACGAGAAAACAGGGGAACAUCUACUGCCAUUUCCCCCAGUCGAGCUCGAUGUGGUGAUAUCAUCUUAGAGUGAAACCACUGAAGAUGCGGGAGCCUAACUGCUGACUCGGUUUCUAUUUUUUGUUUUCUCUGUUCUUUUGAGUUUCCCCUUCUACCAAAAAAAUGAGGAUGGUUUUACCCCUACACUGCAUAUAUAUACAAUUCAAUUGUCUUUACUGAAUUAUCAUCCUUUAUUGGGCUGUUCAUUUCAUUACGUGAUUUGAUUAUUCAUUAAUUAGUGAUUGAUAUUUUCAGCCAGUUAGUAUUGGAUGUGGAAUGUGAUGUGGGUUUAAUUA